UGGGGAAUAUUGGACAAUGGGCGCAAGCCUGAUCCAGCCAUGCCGCGUGAGUGAUGAAGGCCCUAGGGUUGUAAAGCUCUUUCACCGGUGAAGAUAAUGACGGUAACCGGAGAAGAAGCCCGGGCUAACUUCGUGCCAGCAGCCGCGGUAAUACGAAGGGGGCUAGCGUUGUUCGGAUUUACUGGGCGUAAAGCGCACGUAGGCGGACUUUUAAGUCAGGGGUGAAAUCCCGGGGCUCAACCCCGGAACUGCCUUUGAUACUGGAAGUCUUGAGUAUGGUAGAGGUGAGUGGAAUUCCGAGUGUAGAGGUGAAAUUCGUAGAUAUUCGGAGGAACACCAGUGGCGAAGGCGGCUCACUGGACCAUUACUGACGCUGAGGUGCGAAAGCGUGGGGAGCAAACAGG
rnacentral:rRNA from 1 species